CACGAACUGUUCCUGUAUCCUCUAAUGAUACACCUCCCAGCGCCUUGCAGGAGGCAGCACCGCUGACCUCCUCAAUGGACCCUCUGCCUGUCUUCCUUUAUCCCCCUGUCCAGCGCAGCAUCCAGAAGAGAGCUGUUAGGAAAAUGUCAGCGCCUUCUUCUAAGUGCUGGGCGGGUGGGGACUGGGUGGCCAGGAUUAUUCCUGAUACACACUGCAAUCUGGUAGCUUUUUAGCAGGGUUUGUUUGAAAAUCCUACAUUUUGGGGACCCCUGAGGCAGUAAUGAGAAUUCUUUUUUUUUCCCCACAGGAGUGUCAUGGGCCGGCAGACAUGCCUGGAGUGCAGCUUCGAGAUCCCAGACUUCCCUAAUCAUUUCCCUACUUACGUACACUGCUCUCUGUGUCGCUAUAGCACCUGCUGCUCCCGAGCUUAUGCCAACCACAUGAUCAACAAUCAUGUUCCACGGAAGAGCCCCAAGUAUUUGGCUUUGUUUAAAAAUUCUGU
rnacentral:sRNA from 1 species